UACCCUACUGCUUACCUCCUCUGGCUUUUUCAUCUCUUCCUUCCAACCUCUCCACCUACUCUUGCUUGGCUGUGGAGUCCUCAAAAACCCCUCUUCUUUGCUGGCCUACUCUUAUAGGUAAAUGACUGCAAAUGAGAAGAAGACCUGGAACAAGAGAGCUUUCAGCUGAAGCUUCAAAGUGGGAGGGGGCAAGGCACAGGUGUGAUGCUGGAUUCAGGAUUCUGGUGUGCCUGCGUGUAGGAUUAGGUGGAAGAGCAGCAAAAAAACAGAGCCCUGCAUGAGUCAUAACCCAGAAAAAGCUCUGCUGAGAAUACAGCUCACACUCUUCUGCAGUGUAGCCCAGGCUUUUACAACACCAUGUUCUACACAAUCCUGUUUCAUCUUCCUGCACUCAACUCUGUCUGUCACAGCAAGGAGCUCAAGAAAGACAUGCUUUUAAAAUUAGAGGUACAGCAUGGUUUCUGCAAGGGGAAGAUAAACCUCGCAAGUGAUCAAACCGGUGUGAAGAAGGUAGUGAUUAAGUUUAUCCCAAAAACUCCUGAUGUCACUCCUGGGAACCAAGAUGCUGUUUCACAAGAGCUAAUUGUACUGAGGCUGGAAAGAACAAAAAUGGUGAUUCUACAAUGCUGUGUGGGCAGCUCUGAGAUGCAUGUGGCUUUUACAGAGAAGGAGGAAUGGAGACAAAAAAUUCAGAUUGAUGCAAGAAAAUGUAAAUGCUGAUGGAAAGAAAAA